rnacentral:tRNA from 1 species
GACCACGUGGCCUAACGGAUAAGCGUCUGACUUCGGAUCAGAAGAUUGAGGGUUCGAAUCCCUUCGUGGUUA